rnacentral:rRNA from 1 species
UAGGGAAUCUUCGGCAAUGGGGGCAACCCUGACCGAGCAACGCCGCGUGAGUGAAGAAGGUUUUCUGAUCGUAAAGCUCUGUUGUAAGAGAAGAACGUGUGUGAGAGUGGAAAGUUCACACAGUGACGGUAACUUACCAGAAAGGGACGGCUAACUACGUGCCAGCAGCCGCGGUAAUACGUAGGUCCCGAGCGUUGUCCGGAUUUAUUGGGCGUAAAGCGAGCGCAGGCGGUUUAAUAAGUCUGAAGUUAAAGGCAGUGGCUUAACCAUUGUUCGCUUUGGAAACUGUUAAACUUGAGUGCAGAAGGGGAGAGUGGAAUUCCAUGUGUAGCGGUGAAAUGCGUAGAUAUAUGGAGGAACACCGGUGGCGAAAGCGGCUCUCUGGUCUGUAACUGACGCUGAGGCUCGAAAGCGUGGGGAGCAAACAGG